ACUUUCACAUGUGAGGACAUGGUGAGAAGACAGCAAUCUGUGAACCAGACAGCAGGCCCUCACCAGGCACCAAAUCAACUGAUGCCUUGACCUUGGACUUCUCAGCCUCCAGAACUGCUAAGGAAGGCCUUGUACUGGUUUUAGAGCCCUGGACGGAGCUCCAGGUGACAUGGGCCUUCCUGGUUCUACCACCGACCUGCUGGGGGUUUCAGCAAGCCUUCACCUUCCACGUUGGCGUUCUCAGCUCUAAGAAAAGGAAGUUGAUUUCCAUGAGAGGUGAUCAAACUGUGCUGUAGAAACCUCAGCGAUUCCACAGAACAUUAGAGUACCUCUGCCAAGCAGAAUUCUCCACAUGGAGAAACCUCCCCUCUUACUGAUUUUAUAUGCCAUGCAUGUCAACGCUCUGGGGAAGAUUUUUUGCUUGAGAAAAAAAAAAAAUUCUUGCUGAUUAAAGAAAAACAACCCUGGAAAGUGCUGAAUAUGGUAUCUAUGCAUUUAUUAUGGAAAUCUAGAUAGUUUGCACUGAGAUCAUAGAUGGUUCUCAUAGAAUGGGACUAGGAGGAUUCAAGGAAAGAAGACCUGCUUCCUGUUUCCCAGCCCGUAAACCCUUGCUGUUGUUUUCAAGAUUUUUAUGAUCCUUUCUGGGCUGUGAUGAGAGGGCCUGGCAGGGGAGCCGGCUGCCUCCUUAUCGAAGACUCCCUGCCUCAGUGCCUAGAGCCAGGCUCAGCCCUGGUGAGGAGGGACAAUCCUGGCUGGGUAGGUCAGGCAGCUAAAAGUUGGGGGUCAGGUCCCCUACUUCAGCGGUCCCUAACCUUUUUGGCAUCAGGGAAGACAAAAAUCGGAAGACAAUUUUUCCACAAACUGGAGAUGGAGGGAUGGUUUCGGGAUGACUCAAGCACAUUACAUUUUUGGUGCACUUUAUUUCUAUUAUUAUUACGUUGUAAUAUAUAAUGAAAUAAUGAUCUAACUCACCAUAAUGUAGAAUCAGUGGGAGCCCUGAGCUUGUUUGCCUGCAACUAGAUGGUCCCACCUUCAGGGGAUGAGAGACAGUGAUAGAUCGUCAGGCAUUAGAUUCUCAUAAGGAGCACACAACCAAGAUCUCUUGAAUGAGCAAGGGCUCGCAUGCACAAUGGGGCUCGCACUCCUGUGAGAAUCUAAUGCUGCCGCUGAUCUGACAGGAGGUGAAGCUCAGGCAGUAGUGCCAGCAAUGGGGAGUGGCUGUAAAUACAGAUGAAGCUUUACUGGCCUGCUGCUCACCUUCUGCUGUGCAGCCCGGUUCCUAACAGGCCAGGGACCGGUACUUCUUUUUUUUUUUUUUUUUUUUUUUUUUUUUUUUUUUUUGAGACGGAGUCUCGCUCUGUCGCCCAGGCUGGAGUGCAGUGGCGGGAUCUCGGCUCACUGCAAGCUCCGCCUCCCGGGUUCACGCCAUUCUCCUGCCUCAGCCUCCCGAG
rnacentral:lncRNA from 1 species